AACACCAAACCCGGAAAUCGACUCGCAAAAACCUAAAACCAAACUAAUCCAGCACGCAGCCUGCGGACAAAGUAAUGAUUGCAGAUAUUAAAUCCCAAAACCCGAAACCAUUCAUGGAAUCUUUGUUGAGUCUGUAUCAGCAAUCGCAAAAGAAACAAAGGAAAAUUCUAAACUAAAUCAAAUCAAUAACAACGAGAAGAAAAAAAGAAUACCUUGACAGAUCGGCCUUACAAAAGCCAGAGAGCGCCAAACAGGAAAGAAGGUAAAGGUAUCAAAAAAAAUCAAAAUCUAUUCCUGUUACAGAGAAUAUUAGAAUGUCCCGAGACUCAAGAACUGGUUCAGUAGAAAAGAGGGACGAACGAGAGAGGCCGG
rnacentral:lncRNA from 1 species